AUUGAACGCUGGCGGCAGGCCUAACACAUGCAAGUCGAAAGAGUGGCGGACGGGUGAGUAAUGUCUGGGAAACUGCCCGAUGGAGGGGGAUAACUACUGGAAACGGUAGCUAAUACCGCAUACCAUCGGAUGUGCCCAGAUGGGAUUAGGUAGUUGGUGAGGUAAAGGCUAACCAAGCCGACGAUUUCUAGCUGGUCUCAGAGGAUGACCAGCCACACGGGGACUGAGACACGGCCCAGACUCGUACGGGAGGCAGCAGUGGGGAAUAUUGCGCAAUGGGCGCAAGCAUGAUGCAGCCAGGCCGCGUGUAUGAAGAAGGCCUUAGGGUUUUAAAGUACUUUCAGCGGGGAGGCGUUACCCGCAGAAGAAGCACCGGCUAACUCCGUGCCAGCCGCCGCGGUAAUUC
rnacentral:rRNA from 1 species